AGCGAACGCUGGCGGCAGGCCUAACACAUGCAAGUCGAACGAACUCUUCGUAGUUAUUUGCGGAGCUGGGAUUAACACGGGGUAACGUACCUUUUGGUUCGGAAUAACUGAGGUAAACUUGAGCUAAUACCAAAUGUGCUCUUCGGGGGUAGGAUUUAUCGCCAUUAGAGCGGCGCUCGUCUGCUUAGCCAGUUGGUGAGGUAACGGCGCACCAACGAGACGAUCAGUAGCUGGUCUGUUACGAUGACCAGCCACGAUGGGAAUGCGACACGGACCACAAUGCUACGCGAGGGAGCAGUGGAGAAUACUACGGGAUGAGGGAAAGCGCGACGAAGCCAUGCCGCGUGAAUGAUGAAGGUCUUAGGAUUGUACAAUUGUUUGUCAGGGGACGAUAAUGACGGUAACGGGUGAAGAAGCACCGGCUAACUUCGUG
rnacentral:rRNA from 1 species